CCAUUUCCAUGUGGGUCAAGCUGAAUGGCGAUGGUUACAUUCAAACACCAAAAUACCAAAGGAUAAAAAGCAAGAGUUAAUGCUAAUGUUCAAGAAGGUCAUGUACACAACUGAACACGAAGAGUUAACUGAAGCUGUCAACAACAUUCAAUCAUUGCAUGGAAACUACCCUGAAUUUGUCAGUCGUUUUGACAAAUUUUACGUUCGAUGUGAAGGAUGGACACUGUUUGCAAGAAAAGGAAAAUUGACUCAAAAUAACAACACAAAUCACUUUGCCGAGACAACAGUUUAAGCGAGGACAUCCCUAAUAACAGCGACGGCUCUUCCAUCUCAUCCAGUAACCGCAAUCGAAUAAAUAUAAACCAAAGUCAAAUUUUGGAGUGUGGAGAAAAAAUGGCAAAACCGAGUGAAGUUUCAUCUGAAUAUUAUGAACAAAUUUGUAGUGAGGUUGUAAAAUUCAUACCAUUUCUACACAUACAAAUAGUUAAUCAUGU